UAUCCUUUUAAUUGACAUAAAACUAUCCUAUUCACCUUUGGGGGCCAAGGAAUUGUCUUUUGAUUUAUUUUCCUUUACUAAAUACUGUGUAAUUAGAUGAAUUCGGAACUCUGUAAGGGGGACAGUUUGUCGUGCCCAGUAGCUUCCCACUGGACUCUGGAGCCUGGCCUGCAAGAGCCAAAUUAUGAUCCUGAUCAACUUAAUCUGAUUGAACUACAGAAAAAUGAGUUGUUACUUAACAAGUUGUUGGAUAGUUGGGAGUCACAAUUAUUGGAGAUCACUGUCCAUAAGACUAGAUUGCUUCCAUCUCCAGAAUGCAUCUGCUUUGGAGUUUCCAAACUAUGAUCUGAAGAACCCGUUGCUUUUUGGCUUAUGUUGAGGCUGCUGGAUUGCAAAUGACAGGCAACAAAUGGCACAGCAAAACUUCUCAUCUCAUGGCUGGGAGAUAAAAUAGAACAAGGAAGGGGCUAAGGUCUCAUGAUCCCCAAUGACCCAACAUCCUCCUACAAGGCCCCAUCUCUCGAAUGUUUCACUGCCUCCCAGUAGCUCUACCCUUCAACACGUGGCCUUUGGGGAUAUUUAUCCAAACCAUAGCAAGGUUGACAGUAUUUUGCUUUGUAAGUAACCUCAACAUAAACUCUUUCUACAAGUAAUCUCCAAACCACCAUAAUUAUGACUAACAAACACAAUAGCAAUUUUAUAAUAACCAGUGGAAAACAUGUCUUUUUAUGCCAUAUCUUUUAGACUAGUGAACCUUAUCAUCAUGUCUGGGUUUCUUCAAAAACUGGUCUCUUUACUAACUUCUCCUUCUCACUUCAACACACCAAAGACUUGAAACACUUCUCACAAAUGACUUCCUAAAUUACCAAAUGCAACAGCUCUCUUUCCCACUUGACAAUCUGCAUCACUGUGUGUCAGGAGAUUAUCCCACAGCUGAACAAAUAGGCUCCAGGAGCAGUGAGACCCUGAAUCCUGGGUGGACUCUGUGCCGGCUAGUCUCCUUCAUUAGAAAAUGGGAAUAAUAGGAUGGCCUCUGUGGUGGGUUUCAUGUGAAAAUUGUGUUAGCAUUCCAUCAUUGUGAUAAAAGACCUGAGAUAAACAACUGAUAAAGAGGAAAGUUAUAUUUGGCUCACAGUGUCAGAAGGUUUCAGACCCUGGUCACUUGGCCAUGUCAUGGCACAGUACUACAUGGUGGGAUCAUGUGGCAGAAGAGGGCUGUUCACCUCAUGGCAUCUGGGAAGCAGAAAGACAGAGAGGAAGGGGCCAAGGUCCCUGUGUCCUCCUCAAGUGCACCCACCCCCCAUGACCUAACUCCCUCCUCCUAGACCUUACUACCUAAGAGCCAGCACCUCCCAAGAGUGCCAAGCUGAGGACCAAACCUUUAACACAUGAUCCUUUGGUGGACAUCCCAGAUCCGAAUUAUAGAAAUGCUUAAAUAGAACAUUAUAUAUAAAUAGUCCAAAGCUGCCUGGGGCACAGAGCCAGCUCUCAAAGUUUGGUCACUGAAAUUAGUGAUGAUCAUGAAAAUACUUCAUUCACACUCUCUUCUCACUUCCUUUAGUUUCUGUGGUACAUAAUUUCUGGGUUUUCACUUUAAAACCUUCAUUGUAUUCUCACUAAACAUACCAAAUGUUCAAAUCUCCUCCUGUGAAACCCCUGGUUAUGCAAUGUUUCAAAAGCCGAUCAUUUCUCACCUGGACUAUUGCAACAGUCUUUACGUCUUGGAGAAAUCUUUGCUCACUCCAAUCCUUUCUCUACACACAUCAACAAUUCAGAAGAAAAAAAAAUGUAUAUAUAUAAACUCAGAGCAAAGCACUGUCCUAAUCCAAAGCUUUUAAGAGCUUCCUGGAACAAAAUUCAAAUAUUCAGAGAGCAUGACAAUCAUGCUCCUUCCUAACACAUCCUUUAAGAAACCCCUUCUGACAUUAUCUCCUAAAUGUUAUAUACAUGUUCCGUAGGUGUCUUCCCUGUAUUUGAUUCAAAUUUUCCUGUAUUUAGCAAAAUUAUCUUUGUACCUUGUAUCUUUGGUUGUAGAAAGGUAUUAAUUUCUUUUAAGAUGGAGUUAUUCUAUUUUAGGUUGUAUUGGGAAGUUUUUAGCUACAAAUAAUAGAAAUGCAAUGUAUCUUUCUACUUCUUGGUUGCAACAAGGUGAGCAGCUUUGCUCCACCAUGUGCCCUCGCCUUAAUGUUCUGCUUUGCCACAGGUCCAAAAGCAAUGGAGCCAACUAACCAAGAAUCAAAGUAAGCUAAUUUUCUGGCAAUUUUUGUCAUAGUGAUGGAGAGCUGACUGACACCAGUGGCUUCAAUAUUGGUUAAUACAGCGAGUCUACAAUGUCAUCAGGAACCUGAGUUCUUUGCAUGUUUCUGUUCCACAUCUUGCUUAUAAACACAUGGUUCUACUUCUUCCAAGCAUCAGAACAAAGAGCUUUGCUCUGGCAUUUUAAGAGUAGUAUUUACAACUAAUGUUUUACUCACACUCUGUAAGAGCUGGUCUCUACCAUCAACUGUCAUCAGCUAGAGUCAAAUUGCCAACAAGAAUUGAUAAUGUGUAGACAUUCCAGAAGUAUGUGUAAUUUCUUUUUUUUGUACAAUGUCUUUAUUUUUCAUUUCAAUUCAGAACACAAACUGAGAAUGUUUUCCCAUAAUCAUGGUGGGAUCAUGCGGCAGAAGAGGGCUGUUCACCUCAUGGCAUCUUAGUUUAUCAAUGAAUUAUAAUUACACACAUUCACACAGGUGAGUGAUUAUAAUUCAUUGAUAAACUUAAGGCCAAGAAGGUUUAGAAAUCUUUCAAAACACAUGCAGCUUUCAAAACACUGAAGGAUAUCAGAAAACAUCACAAGGACCUCCUGAUAUGGUGUUCUAUCCCCAAGGACAUUUAAACCAAAAAAAAAUUACUUUCAUUCAAAUUAGCAGAGAUCAUAGCAGAAUUUCCUCAAGACUUUCUAAGUAACACACAACAGUGUUCUUUCAAAAAGAGGAAAUUGCUGCAGGGAGCAUGGUUCACAUAUGCCUCCUAAGACCCCACGAUGUGGCAAGAGAACUUGUACAUGAACUUCUCAUGUCUGCUCUAGGCCUCCAAGGUCCACAUCCCCCUGCCACAUUUCUACCUAAGUGGGCACUGGACACAUGUAAUAACUAAGAGAGAAAAUACCUUUUGGGGGGGGGUACAGAACAUGAAAGAAAUAGAACUUAUUUAUUUAAAAUAUUUAGCUUCCAAGGCUGGUGAUGAAGUUCAGUGGAAUUUAAAAUGCUUGCUGAGCACAUGCCUUAGACAGUGGGUUUAAUCCCCAGUACAACAAAAUGGUUUGUAAAAUUUUUUUUAAAAUUAGCUUCCAGGAGAAUCACAAAAUGAGUAAAUUAUGAAAUAUUCCUUCCAAUGCACACAAGCAAAUUUGCAUCCUGCCAGCCUGAAUCACUUGACCAAGGGCUUGUAAAGUAAAUAGAGGAUUAUAAGUAAAUAACUCGGGUCUUAUCACAAGGGCAGGUGGCAGAAUUCAACAGACUCCUUGAAGUGUAUGUCUUAUUUUUUUUUCCAGUUCUGGAAGUCAAAUAUGUCUUGAUGCCAGAUUGCUGGGGAACAUAGCAAAUCAGAUCCUUGGGGUCUUGGACCCUGCUCUUGAGCUUUGAGCAACCACACAGUCCCGA